UAGAGAAGGGCUUUAUUGAAAAAAGAAAGAAAGAAAGAAAGAAACACCAUCACUCAAAUUACUAUCACUCUGGUCAAGAAUGAUUCUGGAAAGAUCUCAUUCAAGAAAGUAAGAGAGCUAUCAACCCUUCUUAAAGGAAAACCACUAAUGCAGCCCAGAGUUUCUUCACCAGGCCACAUGGAAUGGCUCUGUGUCUGUCUUCUGUAACUACAUCAGUUAAGGUUUUUAUUGAAGUCUUCCUAAGAACACAUCAAUUGGAUGAGAAAGCUCUUUGCAUUCAUUGGACUGAAGAUGAAGAUGAA